CCUUCCGUAGCUCAGUGGUAGAUCUAGAGCGUCCGACCGGUGUGCGGAUUCAAGGUCAUUGGUUCGAUUCCUGUUGGGGGAA